GAUGAACGCUGGCGGCGUGCCUAAUACAUGCAAGUCGAGCGAACAGACAAGGAGCUUGCUCCUUUGACGUUAGCGGCGGACGGGUGAGUAACACGUGGAUAACCUACCUAUAAGACUGGGAUAACUUCGGGAAACCGGAGCUAAUACCGGAUAACAUAUUGAACCGCAUGGUUCAAUAGUGAAAGGCGGCUUUGCUGUCACUUAUAGAUGGAUCCGCGCCGUAUUAGCUAGUUGGUAAGGUAACGGCUUACCAAGGCAACGAUGCGUAGCCGACCUGAGAGGGUGAUCGGCCACACUGGAACUGAGACACGGUCCAGACUCCUACGGGAGGCAGCAGUAGGGAAUCUUCCGCAAUGGGCGAAAGCCUGACGGAGCAACGCCGCGUGAGUGAUGAAGGUCUUCGGAUCGUAAAACUCUGUUAUCAGGGAAGAACAAAUGUGUAAGUAACUGUGCACAUCUUGACGGUACCUGAUCAGAAAGCCACGGCUAACUACGUG
rnacentral:rRNA from 1 species